AGUUAACUGCAGAAAUCAGAAUAUUGGAUAGCAGUAACUAAGGCCAUUGGCAAUUUCUAUCAUAUAUCAUAAUUUAUUUGUGUGAUUCCUUUACCAACUACAUGUUUCUAUUUGUUUACUAUAUUUUGUUUGUUCCUGAAUAUUUUAUGAAUUGUGUAUUUCUAUUUUAAUACAUAAGACUCUUUUUCAUGCAAUUUACUCAAUGGCCUAUAUGAGAAGCCCUAAAUAAAGCUAUUCCUCAUUUGUACGCUUUCUUACUUAUAUAGAUCAAAAUAUGGAAUUCUCUGCAGGUUAACUAAUACAUGCAUCAGCUUUGUAUCAUAAAGAUUUCACCAUCCCAAGGUAAUGGAAAUAAGUUCACAAGAUUCUCAUGUUGAGGUCUGUACAAAGAGAUACAAGGCAAUGUCUGUGUGCUGGAAGGAGAAACUCACUGCCAAAGCUAUAAUCCCUGAUGCUAAAGCCUGCAUGUUCAGAUCUGCAGAGUUUACUCAUAUUACUGUAUGAAUGAUUAAUACAGAGGGAGCCCUUUUGUCAGGUCAUUUAAUCAUUAAAUCAUACGUACAUUAUCUCAGGUAACUUACUACUACCUUUGUUCGAAAAUAAGUGCCGUUAACUUAGUACACCUUUGCACUAAAGUUGUACUAAAUCCGUGACAUUUAUUUUGGGACAGAGGGAGUAUUUCAUUUUCUACCUGAACCAAGUUGUUAUUUCAUUUCUAAGAGGCAAAGAGUUCCUCAUGGUUAGUUUGCCACAUUUUAUAUGUCUAUCUAUGUGCAUUACCAAUUCACUAUAUGCACCUUUAGUUCCCAGUUUUGGCUCACUUUCUUGAUGCAUCUCGGAUGAGAGGAAAGGAAUGGAUAAUCUGACAAGCAAUGUUCGGGCAUACCCUUAUAUUUACGUCUGAUGAAAUGCUGCGGGUGCAAACUAAUCAAGACUGCUGCCAUGAGCAAAAGAGCAGACAUUACUUAUGAGAAAACAAUAAAAGAAUCUUCCGUGACUACAUACCACAACGAGUCAAAGACGAUGAAAGCACUACUCCAUUGGUGGUGUUAGCAAGUGGAGUCUGGAGGGAGAACAACACAAAGUAGGAAAUUGAUUCCCUCACCCUUGCUUGCUUCAACGACCCCGCCCGUCUUGGUGGGGUCGAUUCCCCCAUCGCCCGACUCAUCUCCGACGAGUAUGGCGUCAGUGGGUACGCCCCGCCGUUCGUAUGCUUGGCGGGUCCCAGAACACCCGUGACGUGUAUGAGCUUGACUAGGGCGAGGGGCUCGUGCUCGUGCUCGAGCUUGACAAGACGCACUUCGAUCUCGUCACCAACUACGAGCUGGACUGUGAGACUCCAGAGCAGGCGGGGGUGACGAAGACGAAAGUGGGGGCAGUUCGAGCUUGUCGCUGCCGGAGACCCUGGAGAGGUGCGCGAAGAGACCUGGUUAGAUUUGUUGGCCACCACUGGUAAACUGCACUAAUAACAAAUCAGAUGUCAUCUCUCAUGUUGCUAAUUCAACCCUGGACGAUGUUGCGCGGCCCGCGGCCAUGGACGAUGUGCUGUUGGACAACGACGCGAGGCCGAGGCAGCCAAUGUGAAUGACCACUGGAAAUCAUUUACCUUUCAAUCUUGGAAGGCCCUAAGCUAAAGGAGAGCAUCAAUUGUCAUGAGAGAUAAGCAAUAUCUAUUAGACACGCAUACUAUCAGGCUAACGCAAACCACUCGGGAAUGACCACUCGGGAAUGAAGUAUACUUACCGUAACUUUCUAUGUGUUGACUUGAGUUUUCCUGUUAGUAAAAGAAACAUGCCAUUUUUUUGCGGUUCAUGGAUUCAUGCUCAAUGUUGAAUUAUUAUCUGAUCUGCAAAAGCAUGCCUUACUGCUGCUCAUGGUCACAUGAUUUAUAAUUUAUAACUACAAUUAUUUAAA